GCGAAGGUGGCGGAAUUGGUAGAGCUUACUCCCCAUCCCCCAA
rnacentral:tRNA from 1 species